UAUAGGAAUUUCUCUGGAGUUGUUGUGGGCAGUGUGGGGGUCAGUUCAGUUUCAGAUAGCUCCUUGUUCCACCUUGAGAAGACUCAAGGUCUACAGGCCCCUUCCAAUGCUUAGUCAAUAUUAACUACAGGAUUUUAACCUGUUGCACCUGUCACUUCCAGAGUGGUUCCCUCUUCUUUGUUUAUUUUGGCUUCCUCUCUUUCUAAGUCUAUUCAGUGUCUACUUUCCGCCCUGACACAAGGGGGCAAAGAAGGUCACUUAGUUAGGUUCACUUGUUCAGUUGUGUUGUGGGGAGGGAGGAACACAGCAAACACAUAUCACUGGUAUGUGUGGGGAGUGCUCGUAGUGUAUGGACCACAGUGGAUUUGCCCCAGCUCAUGGCGGCAUGUGCUUUCUUGGUCUACACUGCUCAGGUUUCAGGUUGCUCAGCAGGGGCACUGUCCAAAGCGCACGCUGUGUUUUGUGCACUUCCCAGGUCUGAGCUGCUUAAGUUCAGGUUCUCGGGUACUUCACAGGAGCACAGACUUGGUUGGGCGUGCGUUUUGUGCCCUUCCCAGGUCCGAGCGGCUCACCAGGUGCGUGGCGCGCCCACUGUCCCAGGUGGAUCGUGCAUCUUAAUCAUCUCCCCAGUCCCAGCCGCUCGGGAGCACCAUCUCAGGUGUGCUGUGUGUCUCCUCUGGGGAGCUGAUCUCAGGCUGCGGCCCUCCUGGCGGAUGUCAACCAUUCAGGAGCCCAGGAAGACUUGGUUAGCAACUGGGAGCCUGCUCUCAGUUUGGUGGAGGAUGCUGGUCUCUGGGGCUGAGGUUGGAGUAGCCCCUUGCCUUCCGGCUCUGGCUGUCACCCACCUGCCUCUCUGCCUCCUGCGGCAGGGGAGGAGCCUGUAUGCAGCCGGCCAGCUCUCCUUUGGUAUUCACUCAAUCCUUUGUUCUUUGAGAGGGCCAGGCUGUGCAUUAGAUUAGAGCCUUUUGUGGGAAAGUUCUUUUUUUUUUUCUCUCUCUCUCUGGCUACCCCACAGUUUGGGUUGCCAUCUCAGGUUAGUUCCCUAAGAUUGUUCUCAGGGCAUUCAGGCCCGGUCCUUACCCUAAGCAUGCAACCCGCGCCUCCCUGUCCAGCCCCCGGUCGCUGGUGGCCAACACGAGCAUCUGGGCUACUUCUCUGCUGGGAGUUGCAGUUAGUUGUUUGAAAUCCCACCAAAAAAAGAUACACCAUGUCCACAGGCAAAGAAGAAGCCCCAGUAAGAUGGUAGGAGGGGCAAAAUCACGUUUAGAAUCAAACUCCAUAACUGCCAGAGAUGCUUGGAGGGCUCAAA